UACGGAGGGUGCAAACGUUGCUCGGAAUUAUUGGGCGUAAAGCGCACGUAGGCGGUCUGUUAAGUCGGAUGUGAAAGCCCCGGGCUCAACCCGGGAGGGUCGUGGCAAACCGGCGGGCUUGAGGCCGGUAGAGGUGGGUGGAACUCCUGGUGGAGUGGUGAAAUGCGUAGAGAUCAGGAAGAACACCCGUGGCGAAGGCGGCCCACUGGGCCGGUACUGACGCUGAGGCGCGAAGGCGUGGGGAGCGAACGGG
rnacentral:rRNA from 1 species